rnacentral:rRNA from 1 species
CCCUUAGAUGUUCUGGGCCGCACGCGCGCUACACUGAUGAAUUCAACGAGCACUAACCUGUGCAGAAAUGUUCGGGUAAUCUUGUGAAAUUUCAUCGUGAUGGGGAUUGAUUAUUGCAAUUAUUAAUCAUAAACGAGGAAUGCCUAGUAAGCGUGAGUCAUCAGCUCACGUUGAUUACGUCCCUGCCCUUUGUACACACCGCCCGUCGCUCCUACCGAUUGAAUGCUCAGGUGAGCCAUUCGGACUUUCAUCAUGCUGGUUUCCAGUUUUGAUGAAGGAAAGUCUUGCGAACCUUAUCAUUUAGAGGAAGGAGAAGUCGUAACA